AUGCGAUGAUGAGUGAAGCAGUCUGACCUGGUAUUGCCAUUGCUUUUACUGUUGGCUUUGACCAGGAUAUGAUGCCUUAAUCUUCUCUCUGAGCUG
rnacentral:snoRNA from 1 species